rnacentral:rRNA from 1 species
GGUGUAGGCGGUCUUCUAAGUCGGAUGUGAAAUCCUACGGCUCAACCGUGGAACUGCAUCCGAUACUGGUCGACUUGAGGACGGUAGAGGUCGGUGGAAUUCCCGGUGUACCGGUGAAAUGGACAGAUAUCGGGAGGAACACCAGUGGCGAAGGCGGCCGACUGGGCCGAUCCUGACGCUGAGACCCGAAAGCUAGGGUAGCGAACC